UGGACCACUAAUUCACCAUAUUAGUGGACUGACCGAACUUUUACACUAGGACACUUUCACCAUUGGGUAGACCUUAUGAAUGGAAUGGAUCUCACACGCGUAUGCAACACUGGCACACGUGAGGGCCCAUAUAUUUGUCCUCUAUAGAAGUGCAUCCACAAGAAGGACUAACUCCUUCAAAUGGAAAAUUUCUAUCCACUUUCUAAUAUUUUCAAUCCUGUGUUUACUUUAUUUAUGUAAUAUCUCCACAACAGCCAAAGAACUGGUGUAUGUUCAUAGGAAUGUAUAUACCGAUGUAUUGUAUGCAUAACCUUCUCUAGAAGCUCAGUUAACAGUUAUAGCAUUGUGGAUAUGUGCAGGAUUUGCAAAAUUGGUUACAGCUUUUGCAAGAAAUGCUCACUGAUGAGAAGUAUAGAUUGAGCUGUUGAAUCGUGCCAGGAAAUGUCAAUAAUGCAGCCCAAUUCAGAGUAACGGAAGAAUCUCUGAUGAAAUCUCUUUAUUCACAUUGAGAACACUAGAGAUGGUGCAUACUUGAAGUUUCGGCUACAGGUCGAAUCUUGAUCUUCAAUCUUCCUAUGGAUGACCUGGCUACAAUUUUGCACCUUCCAACAAAUACCAUUCUAUGAACGGAUUCAACCGAACUUCCAUCAGAUACAACAGCUUGGGUUAGAGAAGCCAGACCUGAUACCUUUCAUCCCUUCCAUGUUCAAGUAUUUGAGGGAAAGGGGGAUACAAGUCGAAGUAAAGGUUGUCUACAUUGCAAUUGAGGCUCUGUGACUUCAUACAUUCAUGGAUGUGGCCCACUAGACUUGAUGGAUAAAUGAUCAAGACCACCACCUAUCUGCUUGCCACUACCAUUGUGGGUGAUUGUACAGAAGACGGAGAAUCUGUGCUACCUGAUUUCAGUUGCAUAGUCAGAUUAUGAAGACCAGAAUCUACACACACCUACUGUUUGUUGGUGAUUGUACCAAAAACAUGCGGAUAGGAGAAUCCUAGCUGCCCAAUUUUCUCUGUUGAAUGUGAUAUUUAUACAGUUUGUACAAAAAAUGGCUGAUUUUUGUCACCACCCAUUUCCUUGAAGGCUCUUAAUCGAACGGAUAGGAUUGUCCAAUUGAUGUGAUAUUUGUAGAGUUGUCUGUUGCCAUAGGGCUGAUAAGAUUGACAUACCAGAUGAUCCACCCAUGAGCCAUGCAGGUCCAAUCAAGCAGUAGACCCUCUGAAAUAAGGGCAGGCUCGAAAUUGAAAAUGAAGCAAUAGGCCUCCCAAAUUCUACGUCAAGGGUAGGCAAUCUCGUGU